rnacentral:rRNA from 1 species
UACGUUCCCGGGCCUUGUACACACCGCCCGUCAAGCCAUGGAAGUCAGGGAGACCUGAAGACAGUGGCCGUCAAAGGAGCUGUUUAGGGUAAAACUGGUAACUGGGGCU